rnacentral:misc_RNA from 1 species
UCCGGCUUGACGCCGGCAGUCCCCCGAGAGUCCUCAGCUUUACCUGUUAGUAACACGGGGCAAGGGUUGCGCUCGUUGCGGGACUUAACCCAACAUCUCACGGCACGAGCUGACGACAGCCAUGCAGCACCUGAACCGGCAGUCCCCGAAGGGAAAAUCCUAUUUCUAGGAUGGUCCGCCGUUGUCUAGCCCAGGUAAGGUUCUUCGCGUUGUGUCGAAUUGAACCACAUGCUCCACCGCUUGUGCGGGCCCCCGUCAAUUCCUUUGAGUUUCAGCCUUGCGGCCGUACUCCCCGGGCGGGGCACUUAAUGCGUUAGCGCCGACCCUCACGGGGUCGCUCCCCCAAGGAUCUAGUGCCCAUCGUUUACGGCGUGGACUAC